UCGGCGAAAUGGAGGCGUCUCCACGCAGCGGCGGCGCGUCCACGCCGGGAGUGAGGAAGGGGUUAUGCCUCCCCCCGGCUUCCUGAUUGUGUCUUUCAGGGGUGGCAGCUGGAGGUGUCGGCUGGCUGGGUAGAGUGUGGGCGUGGUUUCUUGGUUUUAGUAGCACUGUUGCGUUUCAUUACUUUUCAGGACCGUUCGCAUUCCGUGUUUCACCUAUUUUAAUAGUGUGCUACAAUGGACCCAUUUUCCGGGCGAGAAAGGUGAGACCCAUAGAAUCGAAGUUAACUUGAGUGUUAACAGCGGAGCAGACACUCCAGGAUUUUGAGCAGCAGCGUCCUCUGGGUGCUGUGUGUGUGUGGUGUAUUAGAGGUGCCCGGUAAGGAAGAUGGUUAUUUUUGGGUGGGUGUGUAUGUACUGAAAAGGAGCAUUCAUUUGUGGAGGAAUUUGGAGAAAAUAGAAAAAUGCUAACUGGGGAAGAAGUUUAAUUUUUGUGGGAGGACAUUGAAUAAUUUAUUUCUGAUAUUUGAUGUUUUGAAAUAUUUUUUUUGAGCACUUAAUGUAUGUAGAGAUUAGGAAGUUUGGGUAAUUAGGAGAGGGGAAGACUGUAAGAGUAACAUUUAAUAUAGGGUUUUGGGGGGUGAUAUUUGAGAGUGUUUUAAGGAAGAUUAAUCCGGAAAGUAGAGGUUAAAGCAAAAGAAGAAAUAGGAAGUCAUGGGUAAUCAACAAUGUGGAGAUUGUAGUCAGGGAAAUGAGGGGGUCAUUGAAAACAAAAAGGGUGUUGGGGGAAGGGGUCAUGAAGAAUAUAGGAAUAUCUCAAAGGAAAAUAUAGAUGGGAGUUACUGCAUGAUAUCAGGAGAAUUAAAGAAAGGAAGGUGGUCAUUGGAAUCUCAGAUGGUUGUUAUGGAAAGUACUGUAGGAGUUACAGGAUAACCAGACUCAAAAUGUCCGGUAUAUUAAGAAGGUGUACUGAAGGCUUUGAAGAAGGAUGGGAAUCUAUCAGAGAGGUGAUUGGCAUUCAGAAGGAACACAGGAAAUUCCCUGGACAGGCCUGCUGGAAAAUGGGGCUUCUGCGGAGGGUUCAGUGGCCUACUGAAGGAGAAUCAACUGUGUGGUUGUCAUCAUUCUGCACCUGCAAGAUUUUUCAGAUGUGCCUUUCCUUCCCAGCUUUGGUGCUUUUCUUUGCUGAAUUGUUUCGGUUUGGUAAAGCUGAUGAACUGCAAUAUACCAGAAAUGAGUUGGCUUUUACAAUUCUAAGUUUAUAAUUCUACGGCUGUAAAAAUGUCCAAAUUAAGUCAUCAACAGGACAAUACCUUCUCCCUGAAGACCGGCCACCGGCAUGCUUGGGUUCCUCUGUCAGAUAGCAAGGUCACCGAUCCGAGAUUCCUAGGGAACCCUAGGGAGGAAGGAUGAAGCAGGGGGACCAGGCUGUCAACUGGCAGAAUCUGAUGGGGGGAACCAGUGAGUGCAAGCUGGAGACGUGAGGUCUGGGCAGGUGCGGCUCCCCAGCUCUGAAGAGACACUGGCCCAGGGAGCACAGAUGCUACUUUCCCAGUGAUCCAAUAAACCAUGGCAUCCAUACUGUCUGCAGCUGAGGUAGAGGUGAGAAUGUGGUCCAUCUGCAACUGAGGUAGAGGAUUCCUGUUUCCUAAACCUGAGCUGAUCUUACAGCUGGAGCAAGGUAAGGAGCCAUGGAUUCCUGAAGCCCCAGGACCUCCUGAUCCGGGGCUUACGUCAACCUUUUCUGCAGGUGAGAGGGCUGGGUCCAAGGUGCACUAACCCAGCAGAGGGGGAAGGUUUGAUGGAUAUUCAAUAUUUGGGGAAGGGAGUGGGUAAGGAGGAAACCAAAUCUACUCUCCGCUUUCUCUUCCUUAGUCAGACAUCCUUUUAGCUACCUAGUCAUCCAAUUGUUAAUGGAGGGGGUGUUCAACUUUGCCAGCCACACGCCUUUGCCUUUUGUUGUUUCCUUUAUCAGUCCCUGUGCUUGGAGGCAUUACCACGUAGACCCCCUCACCCUGGAACUGUCAUCCUGUCUCAGUCUCCCAGGCUGCCCAUAUGGCUUCUGAUCUGCAGGGUUUAUGUGUACCUUAUAGCUAUCUCUGAGCCCUUCCUAAGAGACUCAGCUGUUGUUAUUUUACUUAACAUCCAGAUCUCAUUGUAUUCUAAUUCUUGCUCUGUUUGUUCAUUUAGCAAGCGUUUAUGGAAUGUACUGUGUACUGGAGCUGCACAUUUCCUGAGUUCUAUCAGCAUGCCCUGAGAAAGGUGUCAUUUGGAGUGUGAAGUAGAUGUGGAUUUGUCCCAGGGGUAUAAGAGAAAUGCGCUGGUUUCUCCUUUCCCUUCUAGGUAGCCUUGUAAAUUUUUGAAAAAUAAAACAUAUUUUUCUAAU